UGGGGAAUUUUGGACAAUGGGCGCAAGCCUGAUCCAGCCAUGCCGCGUGCGGGAAGAAGGCCUUCGGGUUGUAAACCGCUUUGUCAGGGAAGAAAUCUUCUGAGUUAAUACCUCGGGAGGAUGACGGUACCUGAAGAAUAAGCACCGGCUAACUACGUGCCAGCAGCCGCGGUAAUACGUAGGGUGCAAGCGUUAAUCGGAAUUACUGGGCGUAAAGCGUGCGCAGGCGGUUUUGUAAGACAGAGGUGAAAUCCCCGGGCUCAACCUGGGAACUGCCUUUGUGACUGCAAGGCUUGAGUGCGGCAGAGGGGGGAUGGAAUUCCGCGUGUAGCAGUGAAAUGCGUAGAUAUGCGGAGGAGCACCGAUGGCGAAGGCAAUCCCCUGGGCCUGCACUGACGCUCAUGCACGAAAGCGUGGGGAGCAAACAGGAUUAGAUACCCUGGUAGUCCACGCCCUAAACGAUGUGCAACUGGUUGUUGGGAAGGUUCCUUCUCAGUAACGUAGCUAACGCGUGAAGUUGA
rnacentral:rRNA from 1 species